rnacentral:misc_RNA from 1 species
GAUGAAGAACGUAGCGAAAUGCGAUACUUGGUGUGAAUUGCAGAAUCCCGUGAACCAUCGAGUCUUUGAACGCAAGUUGCGCCCGAAGCCAUUAGGCCGAGGGCACGCCUGCCUGGGCGUCACACGUCGUUGCCCCCCCAUCUACUCCUUCGGGAUUGCGGGGGCGGAUGAUGGCCUCCCGUGCGCCUCGUCGCGCGGUUGGCAUAAAUGCCAAGUCCUCGGCGACGCACGCCACGACAAUCGGUGGUUGCGAAACCUCGGUUGCCCGUCGUGUGCGGUCGUCGCGCAUCGAGGGCUCGAAAAAAUUGCCGGGCUCCGGCUCGGCUUUCAACGCGACCCCAGGUCAGGCGGGGUUACCCGCUGAAUUUAAGCAUAUCAAUAAGCGGAAGA